GGAGUGUAGCUCAAUUGGUAGAGCACCGGUCUCCAAAACCGGGGGCUGGGGGUUCAAGUCCCUCCACUCCUGCCA
rnacentral:tRNA from 1 species